rnacentral:rRNA from 1 species
AACGAACGCUGGCGGCAGGCCUAACACAUGCAAGUCGAACGAAGUCUUCGGACUUAGUGGCGCACGGGUGAGUAACACGUGGGAAUAUACCUUACGCUGGGGGAUAACAUCGGGAAACUGAUGCUAAUACCGCAUACGCCCUUCGGGGGAAAGAUUUAUCGGCGAAAGAUUAGCCCGCGUCCGAUUAGCUAGUUGGUGAGGUAACGGCUCACCAAGGCUCCGAUCGGUAGCUGGUCUGAGAGGAUGAUCAGCCACACUGGGACUGAGACACGGCCCAGACUCCUACGGGAGGCAGCAGUGGGGAAUAUUGGACAAUGGGCGCAAGCCUGAUCCAGCCAUGCCGCGUGAGUGAUGAAGGCCUUAGGGUUGUAAAGCUCUUUCGACGGGGACGAUGAUGACGGUACCCGUAGAAGAAGCCCCGGCUAACUUCGUGCCAGCCGCCGCAGUAA